rnacentral:rRNA from 1 species
CUUGGUCAUUUAGAGGAAGUAAAAGUCGUAACAAGGUUUCCGUAGGUGAACCUGCGGAAGGAUCAUUAAAAAAAAGAGAAACGUCCCGUUUUUUUCAUAAGAAUGGGUUCUAUUCCCUUAAACCGUGUCCACAUACCUUUGUUGCUUUGGCAAGCCGUCCUUCGGGCGCAGCUUCGGCUGAGAGCGCUUGCCAGAGGACCCCAACUCUUUUGUUUAGUGAUGUCUGAGUACUAUAUAAUAGUUAAAACUUUCAACAACGGAUCUCUUGGUUCUGGCAUCGAUGAAGAACGCAGCGAAGUGCGAUAAGUAAUGUGAAUUGCAGAAUUCAGUGAAUCAUCGAAUCUUUGAACGCACAUUGCGCCCCUUGGUAUUCCGAGGGGCAUGCCUGUUCGAGCGUCAUUAUGACCACUCAAGCCUAGCUUGGUAUUGGGGUUCGCGGUCUCGCGGCUCUUAAAAUCAGUGGCGGUGCCAUCUGGCUCUAAGCGUAGUAAUUCUCUCGCUAUAGGGCUCCGGUAGUUGCUUGCCAAAACCCCCCUAUUUCUCACGGUUGACCUCGGAUCAGGUAGGGAUACCCGCUGAACUUAAGCAUAUCAAUAAGCGGAGGA